rnacentral:rRNA from 1 species
AGUCUGGUGCCAGCAGCCGCGGUAAUUCCAGCUCCAAUAGCGUAUAUUAAAGUUGUUGCAGUUAAAAGCUCGUAGUUGAACCUUGGGCCUGGCUGGGCGGUCCGCCUCACGGCGUGCACUGCUCUGGCUGGGUCUUUCCUUCUGGGGAGCCCCAUGGCCUUCACUGGCUGUGGGGGGAACCAGGACUUUUACUGUGAAAAAAUUAGAGUGUUUAAAGCAGGC